ACAGAAGAUAAUCGAGUUAAAGGAGAAACAAAAUGAAGAAAUGAAUAUGAUGAAACAAAAUCAGGAGAUGAUGCAAUCAGAAUUACUCCAAAUGAGACAACUCAUGCGCAAAUAUGCUCCUGAUGCAUCUAUGCCUCAAAGUAGCAAUGGCACCUCAGGUGAAUAGAUCCCUGAUGCCAAUAGUGGACAUGAACGAGUACCACAAACAUCAAGGAUGCUUAGUGUUGCUGAAAAUGCUCAACCUUCUCAUGGUCAUACAAUUUGAUGCUCGAUAAUUCAGCGGGUGGAAGAUUUCAUAAUGAUGAAAAGUUGCGAAAAUCGUUUGAAGACCAUCAUUCGUCUGGAUUAGUUAUAUAAUAACAUUAGCUAUUUAGUUCAAACAAUAUAAGUUUAGUUAUUGUGACAUCAAUAUUUUUGAUUGGUGCUUCCUUUAAUUUGUUAAGAUUUAAUGAGAUA